GUCGUUUGGUAGCUCUUGGAGGUACAGAGGGUGGAGGUGAUACAGUAGAUCUACCCAAAGUGAGGGAUAGCACAGAAUGUGUUAGUACGAUGUGCUCUAGGAGUAAAGCUUUAGCGCUGGGGAAGAGCCUGCGUAUGAUAGCUUGUGGUGAGGUAAAAGCUCACCAAGGGAGAUCAUUACUGGUCUGAGAGGAUGAUCAGCCAGAUGGGAUGAGAACGGCCCAGACUCCUACGGGAGUCCAUGCAGUAGGGAAUUUUCCAGGCAAUGGACGAAAGUCUGAUGGAGCAACGCCGCGUGCAGGAUGAAGGCCUUCGGGUCGUAAACUGCUUUUAUAUGUGAAAAUUAUGAUGGUACAUGUGAAUAAGAUCGGCUAACUCCGUGCCAGCAGCCGCGGUCAUACGGAGGAUCCAAGCGUUAUCCGGAAUUACUGGGCGUAAAGAGUUGCGUAGGUGGCAUAGUAAGCGAAUAGUGAAAGCGUAUGGCUCAACCAUAUAAACAUUACUCGAACUGCUAAGCUAGAAGAUAAGAGAGGGUACCUGGAAUUCCUAGUGUAGGGGUGAAAUCCGUAGAUAUUAGGAGGAACACCAAUGGCGUAGGCAGGGUACUGGCUUAUUCUUGACACUAAGGCACGAAAGCGUGGGGAGCAAACGGGAUUAGAUACCCCGGUAGUCCACGCCGUAAACUAUGGAUGCUAGCUGUUGUCGGUAUCGACCCCGACAGUAGCGAAGCUAACGCGUUAAGCAUCCCGCCUGGGAAGUACGGUCGCAAGACUAAAACAUAAAGGAAUUGACGGGGACCCGCACAAGCGGUGGAGCGUGUUGUUUAAUUCGAAAGUAAGCGAAGAACCUUACCCAGGCUUGACAUCCUGCGAAUUUCUCCGAAAGAGAGAGUGCUUUAUUGAGCGCAGUGAACAGGUGUUGCAAUGCCCUCGUCAGCUCGUGUCGUGAGAUGUUUGGUUAAGUCCAUCAACGAGCGCAACCCUUAUGUUUAGUUGUAUUUUUCUAACAGACUGCCCCUGGUAACAGGGAGGAAGGGGGGGAUGACGUCAGGUCAGUAUUACCCUUACGUCUGGGGCUACAGACACGCUACAAUGGCCGGUACAAAGGCAGCUAAGUCGCGAGACGGAGCAAAUCCCAUAAAGCCGUCCCAGUUCGGAUAGCAGGCUAUACUCCCCUGCUGAAGUCG
rnacentral:rRNA from 1 species